AACGAACGCUGGCGGCAGGCUUAACACAUGCAAGUCGAACGCACCUUUCGGGGUGAGUGGCAGACGGGUGAGUAACGCGUGGGAAUCUACCCUUCUCUACGGGAUAGCUCCGGGAAACUGGAAUUAAUACAGUAUACGUCCUGAGGGAGAAAGAUUUAUCGGGGAAGGAUGAGCCCGCGUUGGAUUAGCUAGUUGGUGGGGUAAAGGCCUACCAAGGCGACGAUCCAUAGCUGGUCUAAGAGGAUGAUCAGCCACAUUGGGACUGAGACACGGCCCAAACUCCUACGGGAGGCAGCAGUGGGGAAUAUUGGACAAUGGGCGCAAGCCUGAUCCAGCCAUGCCGCGUGAGUGAUGAAGGCCCUAGGGCUGUAAAGCUCUUUCAGUGGGGACGAUAAUGACGGUACCCACAGAAGAAGCCCCGGCUAACUUCGUG
rnacentral:rRNA from 1 species